rnacentral:tRNA from 1 species
AGAGAUAUAGCUGAGUUGUAGAAGUGCUUGCCUAGCAUGCAUGAAGUCCUGGGUUCAAGCCCCAAUACCACAA